GAUGAAGAACGUAGCGAAAUGCGAUACUUGGUGUGAAUUGCAGAAUCCCGUGAACCAUCGGGUCUUUGAACGCAAGUUGCGCCCGAAGCCAUUAGGCCGAGGGCACGCCUGCCUGGGCGUCACACGUCGUUGCCCCCCCAUCUACUCCUUCGGGAUUGCGGGGGGCGGAUGAUGGCCUCCCGUGCGCCUCGUCGCGCGGUUGGCAUAAAUACCAAGUCCUCGGCGACGCACGCCACGACAAUCGGUGGUUGCGAAACCUCGGUUGCCCGUCGUGUGCGGUCGUCGCGCAUCGAGGGCUCGAAAAAAUUGCCGGGCUCCGGCUCGGCUUUCAACGCGACCCCAGGUCAGGCGGGGUUACCCGCUGAAUUUAAGCAUAUCAAUAAGCGGAGGA
rnacentral:misc_RNA from 1 species